CGGCCGGUUGGCGCAGGCGCACACUCCCCCCCAAUAUGGCGGACACCGCUCCUCAACCCAGCAAGAGAAAGCGCGAACAAGACGCGGAGGAGGCGGAGGCACCCAGCACAGAGGAGAAGGAAGCAAGGGUUGGGAAUGGUACCUCUGCUCCUGUCCGCUUACCUUUCUCCGACUUUAGAGUGAAAAAAGUGCUAAGGGAGUCUGCGCGGGACAAAAUCAUUUUCCUGCACGGAAAGGUGAAUGAGGCUUCUGGGGAUGGAGAUGGAGAAGAUGCCAUUGUGAUCCUGGAGAAGACGCCAUUUCAGGUGGACCAGGUGGCCCAGCUCCUGAUGGGCAGCCCUGAACUCCAGCUGCAGUUCUCCAAUGAUAUCUACAGCACCUAUCACCUGUUCCCUCCAAGGCAGCUGAGUGAUGUGAAGACCACAGUGGUUUACCCAGCCACAGAGAAGCACCUGCAAAAGUACCUGCACCAGGACCUCCACCUGGUCCGAGAGACAGGAGGCGAUUACAAGAACAUCACCUUACCCCAUCUGGAGUCCCAGAGCCUCAGCAUCCAGUGGGUGUAUAAUAUCCUCGACAAGAAGGCUGAAGCUGACCGGAUCGUUUUUGAGAACCCAGAUCCCUCUGACGGCUUUGUCCUCAUCCCUGACCUCAAGUGGAACCAAAAGCAGCUCGAUGACCUAUACCUGAUCGCCAUCUGCCAUCGCCGGGGCAUCAAGUCGCUUCGGGACCUUACUCCAGAGCACCUGCCACUGCUCAGGAACAUCCUCCGCGAGGGGCAGGUCACAUCUAAGAUCCCAGGAUUAGCUGUCCUGUUCAUGGCAGCUGCAACAUGGUGCACGACCUGACACAUGUCUGCACAUACCUCCUCCUCCACCCUGAGGGCAGAAACUGGGUUCUCCAGCACCUGGCCUUCUGGGAGACUUCAUUUCUGGGAGAUUUGCUAAAUCGCAUGAAAUUAUAGAGUUGCUGAAAGGGGCCCUGUGGUCAAGGGGAGAUGGGGGAAGAGAGUCUAGAAUCUUGGGUUGUAGUUCUAAUUCUGACACUGUGACCUUAGCCCGCUGGUGACCUUGGGCUGGUCAGUUCACCUCUCUGGGCCUCAGUAUCUUGAAGGGGUCCUUCUGAGUCCAUCAUUCUGUGGGGUUGGUCUCAGCCUUGUUUCCACCCUGAGACAUUGGGUGAUGUGGCCUCCACGCCAGGGCCCGCUGUCACCAGGGUUCUCCACGGGGGCGAUGCUCGCCCCAGUUCAGAUUCACCAAGCCCUGCUCCAAGGCUGUGACACCACAGACCUGGAGGAGGGGUUCUGCCUGGGGCCGCUGUACGUUCUCCUCCAGCUGCUCCCCUGUCAUUGUGCCUACCUGCCCUCUUCCCCCUGCUGCCUGGGUCACCAUCUCCCUGGCUGCCUUCCUCUUCUCAUAGUGACUCGUUACUCUGCUGAAACCACCCCUGGAUGCAGAGCCCCAGGAGAUGCUGGGCCAGCACUUCUUCCUGACUUGGCAGCUCGGGAAGCCUCUCCUGGGCAGGCCAGCCCUGCUGACCCCAGGAAGCUGUUUGGGUGCCCUGGUCCUGGUGUCACCCUGCUGCUGAGAUCCCGCGAGGGGGAUAGCGAGCCUCCAAAUGCAGAGUAGAAAACAAUUCUGGGGCUUAUUCUAGGCCCACUGACCACCUCAGGGAUUUACUCACAAUGGAAAUCUGAAUCUUCUCUUAAUUCUUAGCCUGAGAGGGGUAGGAAAAGCUCUAUCCUUGUGCCAGGUUGGGGUGGGCAAAGGAAGCUGUGGCCAAAGGCAAUGCUUUCCUCCUCCGCUGAGAGUCCAGCAAGACCUGGAGGGUCCUUUCGUCCUCCCUGGUCUGUCUGGGGCAGCCCUGCCCGAGUCCCCUGCCCCCUCCUUUCUCUUUGAUCAAGCCCUUAGCUUAGCCCCGGACGGCUCCUAGUGUCCCAGCUCCACUCUGUUCUGUGCUGAGAAGGAGAGCAGGGCUUCCUCCUGCCUGCCUGACUGAAGUCAGGUAAAUCAUCGGGGGCAGGAUAGUCCCCUCAGUCCUGGGAGUCUGGGCCUGUCCUUAGCCUUGGGACUUCCUAGAUGUCCAGUGGCGACUGUUGAGGAAGCACAUGUUCUGUCAGGUGGGAGCAGGAACCCCUGGCGGAGGCCACCAUCCCCAUCUUUGGGAGAAAACACUUCCACUUUGCUGCCACCACCUGUACUUGCUGAUUCCCUAGAAUGGAAGAUGGCCGCCCAAAGCCAGCAGCGGGAAGCUAUCUUGCAGCGCUACCAGGUGACAGGAGACCGCCUCCGCGUGUACCUGCACUACCUGCCCU